GAUGAACGCUGGCGGCGUGCCUAAUACAUGCAAGUCGAGCGAACAGACGAGGAGCUUGCUCCUCUGACGUUAGCGGCGGACGGGUGAGUAACACGUGGAUAACCUACCUAUAAGACUGGGAUAACUUCGGGAAACCGGAGCUAAUACCGGAUAAUAUAUUGAACCGCAUGGUUCAAUAGUGAAAGACGGUUUUGCUGUCACUUAUAGAUGGAUCCGCGCCGCAUUAGCUAGUUGGUAAGGUAACGGCUUACCAAGGCAACGAUGCGUAGCCGACCUGAGAGGGGGACCGGCCCCCCUGGAACGAAACCACGUUCCGGCCCCCUACGGAGGGCAGGAGGAGGGAAUCUUCCCGAGUGGGCGAAAGCCGGACGGAGCAACGCCGGUUGAGUGAAGGAGGUCUGCGGUUCGUAAAACUCUUUUUUUUGGAAAGAACAAAUGGUGAAGUAACUUUCCCCGUUUGGACGUACCCAAUGCAAAAGGCCCCGCUAAAUUCCGG
rnacentral:rRNA from 1 species